CAGGGGGUUGGGAAGCGCAAGGAGGGCGGCGGUCCCAGCGAGCACCCUUAGCAAGUCCUUAACUUGGGAUUGUGCCAGCCGAUUCCCCUCGAAGGCCAGGCUGCGAGGCAGUGAACUCAGCCACAAAAAUGGUUGACAAUACCAAGGCAGGAGUUACGGGGGUAGGAACAGAGAAGAAAAGAGACUCCUAUUGGAAGAAAGGCUGAUCAGGAAACACAAUCACUGGAGACUCAUCCCCCAGCGGUUGCAGGAGUGGAAGCAGUGUGGGGGUCUAUCCCAGGCAGCCAA